rnacentral:lncRNA from 1 species
GACCGGGGAUGGGGACAGGGUGGCCUCAAUGCCACUGUCACCCCUCCUCCACAGUGGGUGGCCUUGGACUCGCCCUGUCCCCAGGGCUGGUGACCCCGGUGUCACCCUGUUCCCCCCUGUCCCCAGGGCUGGUGACCCCGGUGUCACCCUGUUCCCUGUCCCCAGGGCUGGUGGCUCCGAUGGUGGCCUUGGACCGUCCCCAGUGGCAGCAGGACUCAGCGGGGGAUGGCCCGGUGGCCAAAGUGACAGGCAGUGUCCAUCCGCUGGCGGGGACGAUGGCCGGUGUCUGGCGCAGCGGUGAGUGGGGACACCCUUGGUGGGGAGGACACCAGGGAGGGGACAGAAGGAGCCACCAGGGGACACUGGGGACACAAUGGGGACCCAGUGUCCACCCUGUGCCCCUGUGGGUGCCUUGUCCCCACCGCGAACUGUCCCUGUCCCUGCAGUGGUGGCCUCGGGGGUGGCUGAGGAGGUGACACACAGCCCGGUGACAAAGGACGAGGUGACAUGGGACGAGGUGAGGGGGGUUGGGGACAUGGGUGGGGAUGCUGGGGACACAGGGAAGGGACGUGGGGCACCUGGAGCCAUGGGGAGGUGGCACAAGGAAGGGGUGACAAGAGGGGACACAGGGAGGAGGUGAUAAGGGGGGACUCCGGGCUGGGUGGAGGGGCACUCGGGGACAGGGGUGGCUGCUGUCCCCAUGUCACCCUUUGUGUCACCCCCAGGUCACUUCCUGUGAGGACAGGAUGGGGCACCCCCCCAGCAGAGGU